rnacentral:snoRNA from 1 species
UGCCUUUAUGUGUUGCCCUGUCAUUUCACCUCUAGUGAUCAGGGUGUCAGAUAAGGCAUACAGUAAACGUUGUGGUGUUUAGUUUAGAGUUACUGGUGACUCCUGAACACAAAUGUCUGCAACAACACGU